rnacentral:rRNA from 1 species
AGAUUGAACGCUAGCGGCAUGCCUAACACAUGCAAGUCGAACGGUAACAGGCCCUUCGGGGUGCUGACGAGUGGCGGACGGGUGAGUAAUGCGUAGGAAUCUACCCACGAGUGGGGGAUAGCCCGGAGAAAUCCGGAUUAAUACCGCAUAUGCCCUACGGGGUAAAGCGGGGGAUCGUAAGACCUCGCGCUGGUGGAUGAGCCUACGUCCGAUUAGUUAGUUGGUGGGGUAAAGGCCUACCAAGGCUACGACGGUCGCNGUCGUGAGAGGACGGACCACGCCNCCACUGCGACUGAGAUACGGGCCAGACUCCUACGGGAGGCAGC